AGGAGAGAGGCUGACCUUGUGCGUGUGUGCUCUGCUGCAUCGCUUUCCAGAGGAGACCAGGCCUCCAACCCACUGCAGACAGGAAGAUACUCUGUUCAAAACCAAAGCUGCAGAGAGAGGGAACAGCCAUGAGUCUGCUGUGAUAAUGGAUCGCAGCAGGGCAGACAGGAGCAGAACUCGAAGAUGUGGUAACUACAACAACGUAGUGGAGCCCGAGUACGACGUGGUGGACGACCAAGAGGAAGUGCACAAUGUGCGCAUAUUUCCUGCCAGGCCCAUAAAUGAUGAGAGAGAGUACGCAGUCUGCUGCUGCGGUGCACUACUGGGACUGGCAUCGACCGAGUUACAAGAAUGAUACAAACUCAAAGA
ensembl:lncRNA